rnacentral:rRNA from 1 species
AAAAACUCCGGUGGUGUGAGAUGGAUCCGCGUCUGAUUAGCCAGUUGGCGGGGUAACGGCCCACCAAAGCGACGAUCAGUAGCCGGCCUGAGAGGGUGACCGGCCACAUUGGGACUGAGACACGGCCCAAACUCCUACGGGAGGCAGCAGUGGGGAAUAUUGCACAAUGGGCGAAAGCCUGAUGCAGCAACGCCGCGUGAGUGAAGAAGUAUUUCGGUAUGUAAAGCUCUAUCAGCAGGGAAGAAAAUGACGGUACCUGACUAAGAAGCCCCGGCUAACUACGUGCCAGCAGCCGCGGUAAUACGUAGGGGGCAAGCGUUAUCCGGAUUUACUGGGUGUAAAGGGAGCGUAGACGGCGAAGCAAGUCUGAAGUGAAAACCCAGGGCUCAACCCUGGGACUGCUUUGGAAACUGUUUUGCUGGAGUGUCGGAGAGGUAAGUGGAAUUCCUAGUGUAGCGGUGAAAUGCGUAGAUAUUAGGAGGAACACCAGUGGCGAAGGCGGCUUACUGGACGAUAACUGACGUUGAGGCUCGAAAGCGUGGGGAGCAAACAGGAUUAGAUACCCUGGUAGUCCACGCCGUAAACAAUGAAUGCUAGGUGUUGGGGGGCAAAGCCCUUCG